GGACAGUAGUGAGCAAGUAUGGCAGUAAUGUGCAUUAAAGUGUUUCUUGUGGUGGUGUUUCUAGUUGGUGUUGGUUAUUGUCAAGAGAAUGCUACCAACGCCACUGCAGCACCAACUCCUACUACCGCAUCUGCAUUAGCAACAGUAACCACUUCUCUAUCGCCAGUGUCUUCAGCUACAUUAUCAGCAUUCCAAAACUUCAACGCUAUUGUGGUUUCAAUCCCCUUGGGCAUCGUACAGGCAUUAAAAUAUGGAGCGAAAACUAUGGACAGUGUCGUCAGAGCAUUUUUCGCUCAUAAAAAGUUUUAUUAAAAAAGAUUUUUGGCAAA